UACGUAGGGUGCAAGCGUUGUCCGGAUUUAUUGGGCGUAAAGAGCGUGUAGGCGGCCAGGUAGGUCCGUUGUGAAAACUCGAGGCUCAACCUCGAGACGCCGAUGGAAACCCCCUGGCUAGAGUCCGGAAGAGGAGAAUGGAAUUCCUGGUGUAGCGGUGAAAUGCGCAGAUAUCAGGAAGAACACCCGUGGCGAAAGCGGCUCUCUGGAACGGUACUGACGCUGAGACGCGAAAGCGUGGGGAGCGAACAGG
rnacentral:rRNA from 1 species